rnacentral:rRNA from 1 species
AUACGGAGGGUCCAAGCGUUAUCCGGAAUCAUUGGGUUUAAAGGGUCCGUAGGCGGGCAAUUAAGUCAGAGGUGAAAUCCCACAGCUCAACUGUGGAACUGCCUUUGAUACUGGUUGUCUUGAAUUAUAGUGAAGUAGAUAGAAUAUGUAGUGUAGCGGUGAAAUGCUUAGAUAUUACAUAGAAUACCGAUUGCGAAGGCAGUCUACUAACUGUAUAUUGACGCUGAUGGACGAAAGCGUGGGGAGCGAACAGGAUUAGAAACCCCAGUAGUCC